rnacentral:rRNA from 1 species
AUGCCCCUGGACUUCACCAAGCACUUCGUCGCGAUGCCGACGGAGUUCAAGCUCAGAAACAACACCGCCUGCUCCUGGAAGGUGACGGUGAAGCUGAUGAACGACAGGGUGACCCUGGAUCAGGGUUGGGCCUCCUACGCAGCCGUUCAUCAGAUCAAGAUCGGCUACAUGGUGAUGUUCAACCUCCUCACUCCCGACACCCUCAAGGUCAUCAUCUUCGACGACGAUGGCAUUGAGGUCAUCAUCAAGUGCGGGAAGCACGACGAAGCCUUCGCCGCCAAGGAGUAG